rnacentral:rRNA from 1 species
GCAUCGAUGAAGAACGCAGCGAACUGCGAUAACUAAUGUGAAUUGCAGAAUUCAGUGAAUCAUCGAGUCUUUGAACGCACAUUGCGCCCUCUGGUAUUCCGGAGGGCAUGCCUGUCCGAGCGUCAUUGCUGCCCUCAAGCCCGGCUUGUGUGUUGGGCCCCGUCCCCCCCGCCGGGGGGACGGGCCCGAAAGGCAGCGGCGGCACCGCGUCCGGUCCUCGAGCGUAUGGGGCUUCGUCACCCGCUCUAGUAGGCCCGGCCGGCGCCAGCCGACCCCCAACCUUUAAUUAUCUCAGGUUGACCUCGGAUCAGGUAGGGAUACCCGCUGAACUUAAGCAUAUCAAUAAGCGGAGGAA